rnacentral:sRNA from 1 species
AAAGAAAAAAACCGAAAACAAAGAGGGAUGCAACACGAAGACUUUCCUGGAGGUCACCCAUCCUAGUACUACUCUCGCCCAAGCACACUUAACUGCGGUGUUCUGAUAGGAUCAAGUGCAUUAGUGCUGGUAUGAUCGCAUCAGUUACUACAUGCAAUGCAAUCAUAUAUAUUCUUUUUUGAAGACUUUAUGAUCCAUUUGCCGUAGGUCCCACCAGCUAUGUAGGAAUACCCUAUCUCGUUUAUAAGAGCUUUGAUACAUGCAAAAUAUUCGAAAACAAUGUCCGAACAUAUAAUUUUUGUCCCGUAAUAUAGCAAAGAUCACGAAAAGGCCAGAAAAAAUACAUUUCGGUCAAAAUUUGGAGUAGAAAAAAAACCCUUCCUCAUUCAUUGGACAGCUCUUUUUGGGCUUUCCGAAAAGGUAUCACAUGCCAAGUUUGGCCUCACGGUCUAAACCUUAUAGACUCAUACAUUUUUCACAAAAAAAAGAAGAGAAAAACCAAAAAAAAGAGUGAUUAAACACGAGGACUUUCCUGGAGGUCACCCAUCCUAGUACUACUCUCGCCCAAGCACGCUUAACUGCGAAGUUCUGAUGGGAUCUGGUGCAUUAGUGCUGGUAUGAUCGCAUCUGUUACUACAUGCAAUGCAAUCGUAUCUAUUCUUUUUUGAAGAUUUUAUGAUUCAUUUACCGUGGGUCCCACCAGCUAUGUAGGAAUAACCUAUCUUAUUUAUAAAAGCUUUGAUACAUGCAAAAUAUUCGAAAACAAUGUCCGAACAUAUAAUGUUCGCCCCAAAAUAUAGCAAAGACCACAAAAAUGCCAUAAAAAGUACAUUAAGGUCAAAAUUUGGAGUAGGAAAAAAAUCAAUAGGAGAAUUCCAUUUUCCUUCCCUCAUUCAUCGGAGAGCUCUCUUUGGGCAUUCCAAAAAGGUAUCACAUGCCAAGUUUGGCCUCACGGUCUAAAAGUUAUAGAGUAAUACAUUUUUAACAAAAACAAAAGAAAAAAACCGAAAACAAAGAGGGAUGCAACACGAAGACUUUCCUGGAGGUCACCCAUCCUAGUACUACUCUCGCCCAAGUACACUUAACUGCGGUGUUCUGAUAGGAUCAAGUGCAUUAGUGCUGGUAUGAUCGCAUCAGUUACUACAUGCAAUGCAAUCAUAUAUAUUCUUUUUUGAAGACUUUAUGAUCCAUUUGCCGUAGGUCCCACCAGCUAUGUAGGAAUACCCUAUCUUGUUUAUAAGAGCUUUCAUACAUGCAAAAUAUUCAAAAACAAUGUCCGAACAUAUAAUUUUUGUCCCGUAAUAUAGCAAAGAUCACGAAAAGGCCAGAAAAAAUACAUUUCGGUCAAAAUUUGGAGUAGAAAAAAAACCCUUCCUCAUUCAUUGGACAGCUCUCUUUGGGCUUUCUGAAAAGGUAUCACAUGCCAAGUUUGGCCUCACGGUCUAAACCUUAUAGACUCAUACAUUUUUCACAAAAAAAAGAAGAGAAAAACCAAAAAAAAGAGUGAUUAAACACGAGGACUUUCCUGGAGGUCACCCAUCCUAGUACUACUCUCGCCCAAGCACGCUUCACUGCGAAGUUCUGAUGGGAUCUGGUGCAUUAGUGCUGGUAUGAUCGCAUCUGUUACUACAUGCAAUGCAAUCGUAUCUAUUCUUUUUUGAAGAUUUUAUGAUUCAUUUACCGUGGGUCCCACCAGAUAGGAAUAACCUAUCUUAUUUAUAAAAGCUUUGAUACAUGCAAAAUAUUCGAAAACAAUGUCCGAACAUAUAAUGUUCGCCCCAAAAUAUAGCAAAGACCACAAAAAUGCAAUAAAAAGUACAUUAAGGUCAAAAUUUGGAGUAGGAAAAAAAUCAAUAGGAGAAUUCCAUUUUCCUUCCCUCAUUUAUCGGAGAGCUCUCUUUGGGCAUUCCAAAAAGGUAUCACAUGCCAAGUUUGGCCUCACGGUCUAAAAGUUAUAGAGUAAUACAUUUUUAACAAAACAAAAAAGAAAAAAACCGAAAACAAAGAGGGAUGCAACACGAAGACUUUCCUGGAGGUCACCCAUCCUAGUACUACUCUCGCCCAAGCACACUUAACUGCGGUGUUCUGAUAGGAUCAAGUGCAUUAGUGCUGGUAUGAUCGCAUCAGUUACUACAUGCAAUGCAAUCAUAUAUAUUCUUUUUUGAAGACUUUAUGAUCCAUUUGCCGUAGGUCCCACCAGCUAUGUAGGAAUACCCUAUCUUGUUUAUAAGAGCUUUGAUACAUGCAAAAUAUACGAAAACAAUGUCCGAACAUAUAAUUUUUGUCCCGUAAUAUAGCAAAAAGGCCAGAAAAAAUACAUUUCGGUCAAAAUUUGGAGUAGAAAAAAAACCCUUCCUCAUUCAUUGGACAGCUCUCUUUGGGCUUUCCGAAAAGGUAUCACAUGCCAAGUUUGGCCUCACGGUCUAAACCUUAUAGGCUCAUACAUUUUUCACAAAAAAAAGAAAAGAAAAACCAAAAAAAAGAGUGAUUAAACACGAGGACUUUCCGGGAGGUCACCCAUCCUAGUACUACUCUCGCCGAAGCACGCUUAACUGCGAAGUUCUGAUGGGAUCUGGUGCAUUAGUGCUGGUAUGAUCGCAUCUGUUACUACAUGCAAUGCAAUCGUAUCUAUUCUUUUUUGAAGAUUUUAUGAUUCAUUUACCGUGGGUCCCACCAGCUAUGUAGGAAUAACCUAUCUUAUUUAUAAAAGCUUUGAUACAUGCAAAAUAUUCGAAAACAAUGUCCGAACAUAUAAUGUUCGCCCCAAAAUAUAGCAAAGACCACAAAAAUGCCAUAAAAAGUACAUUAAGGUCAAAAUUUGGAGUAGGAAAAAAAUCAAUAGGAGAAUUCCAUUUUCCUUCCCUCAUUCAUCGGAGAGCUCUCUUUGGGCAUUCCAAAAAGGUAUCACAUGCCAAGUUUGGCCUCACGGUCUAA